rnacentral:misc_RNA from 1 species
GAUGAAGAACGUAGCGAAAUGCGAUAAGUAAUGUGAAUUGCAGAAUUCAGUGAAUCAUCGAAUCUUUGAACGCACAUUGCGCCCGCCAGUAUUCUGGCGGGCAUGCCUGUUCGAGCGUCAUUUCAACCAUCAAGCCCCAGGCUUGUGUUGGGGACCUGCGGCUGCCGCAGGCCCUGAAAACCAGUGGCGGGCUCGCUGUCACACCGGGCGCAGUAGAUUUUAUCUCGCUCAGGGCGUGCUGCGGGUUCCGGCCGUUAAAAAGCCUUUUUUACCCAAGGUUGACCUCGGAUCAGGUAGGAAGACCCGCUGAACUUAAGCAUAUCAAUAAGCGGAGGA